ensembl:snRNA U6 U6 spliceosomal RNA
GUGCUCUCUGGCAGCACAUAUACCAUAAUUGAAACAAUACAGAGAAGAUUAGCAUGGCCCCUGCACAAGGAUGACAUACAAAUUUAUGAAGCAUUCCAUGUAUUU